UAUAUGUGAUUUGUGUAGUAGAA
rnacentral:siRNA from 1 species